GGGGGCGAAACGGGUUCGACGGGGAUAUAUAAGCUCGGGCUGCAUGUCGAGGUUUCUACCAACCUCGUAAAAUAGGUAGAACGUAAAUUAUAGUCGCAGAUGACUAUGCAUAUGCUGUAGCUGCAUAAAUAUGCUACCGGGCUUCCGGCCUAUUCCUGCGGGGCCGGAUAGCACGUCGACUAGCGGGAUAGUUUCUUCAGUGCGCCUGCCGCUGUAGAAACGAAACUUAGUAGGAUAGUGCCAAAGGCCCCUGGUCCUGGUGGGGCUGAGGCACGAUAAGCAUACUAACAGGAAUAAACAUGUAGACGCCUGCAGGGGAGUAUUUUCGGACGCGGGUUCAACUCCCGCCGCCUCCACCA
rnacentral:tmRNA from 2 species